UACAGGGAGGUCGGGGCCGAGAGCUCGUGCCUCUCCCUGGCAGCUGCCAUGGCAGAGCUCGAGGCUCAAAUCCGUUCCUCUAGAGGGCAAAGGAGAGGUCAUGGGGUGGGGGAAAAUAAUCCUCAGGCCACGGCACAUCUCUCUCGGGUGGAAGAUUUUGGGGAGGAGCGCGGGGAAGGGGUGCUGCUCAGGCGCCAUGGCCAUGGGUGACUGGAGCUCGAGGAAAGCUACUGGAGGUGGGAGAAGGGCUCAAUUGAGUCUAGAGGAAGGCGAUUAGUGUUGGGGACAUGCUCACCUGCAGCUUAAUCGAGCUGGGGACGAGCUGCGGAGGGAGAUCGACGGUGCUCUGUUCUUUGGCUAGAGGAAGAAGAAGGGUUUGGCCUGGCUGUGUGCUGCAACGGCAGUGACUGGGAGUUGAGCGGGCACAACGGCGAAGCUCGGCUCGAUUUAUAGGCAGCCAAAGGCGGUUCGCACGGAAGAAAAAAAAAUCUCGGUCGGCGUACUAUGCUCGACGACCACCGCACAACGCGUCCACGACUUCCGACGCUCGGCAGGACGACGUGACCCACGGUCUUCUCAAGUCCGGCAUGCUCUUUUACGACGGGUCUUCUCAUGGUCGGCAGCCCCGCGUCUGAGUCCGGCAGCGUGGCGUUCUCCUUUGGGCAAGGUGAUAUGACUAGAUGGUAAAGGCUCGACGGUGCACUGAGGCGGUGCAAUUGCUUCUCCUCGUCGGUUCACAAGUAACUGCGGGUAGGUGCUGCUAUCGGUUGACUGUGAGUUAUUGCGAUGUAUGGCGAGGUCGCGAGGCUUUCAUGGAAUGGGACUGGUGAGCUUUGUUGCAGGUACUGUCAUGGCGUUUCUUGCUACUGAAAAGUGAGGGCGUGCAUAUGUGUUGCUCCUGGACAGGGAAGGAAAAGAUAGGCUUUUGCGUGAGGGAAGAAGAUAGACUUCUUGUGUAAGGAGAGAAGCAUGUGGCUGGUCAUUGAAAGGAAUGGGUUGCUGUAAAGUAUUUUCGGUUGGGGUAGCACAAAUGAUCUUGGUGAGAUUAGGAGGUUGCUCAGUAAAUAAAGGAGGGCAAUGAUUAAGUUGGUUGUGUGAAUUAUAUUAGUCCUAGGAAAGUCCUUCGUAUAGAAUAGAGACACGGGUCUUGUAAUGAAGAUUGUUGGUCAAGUUAACUAUAUAAUCGAGAAGUAUACUUAAGUUUUAUUUUGUUGAUGAAAA